UAAAAUGAUGAAUAUUUUCUUGACAGGUAUAUACGGCAUCCUGGGUAUUCUGGAUUUUUCAUCUGGUCCAUUGGAACACAAGUGACACUUUGUAACCCUUUCUGCAUAGUUGCCUAUGCAGUGGUUACAUGGCGUUUCUUUCGGAAUCGAAUUCGAUACGAAGAGUUCUUCUUGCGACAGUUCUUUGGUCUUCGGUACAUCGAAUAUGCAGAGAGAGUACCUUCUGGAAUACCUUUUAUAAAAUGAUUACAUAAACCUUGGUAUGACUAUGAAAUCACUACUUCUAGAAGGACACGAAUGUAUAGGUGCAGUCGUCUCUUUUUGAUAUGGCUUUACAUUCAACACACCUGGAAGGGAGCCAGAGCAUACUCCCAAGGUGACAAUCAUGUGAUGCUUCUCAACAAGUGGAUUGUUAACUGUCACGUACAUAAGUAUGGGCAUCUUUGGAUUUGAUAUCAUAACUUUUGAUUGUUAGAUGCAGAUAUGUAGUUGUGGGAUCAAUUGAAUUUUGCUUCUUAUCAUAAGCCUUGGAAUUGUUCUUUAAUAUUUUUUCUCUUUUGUAUUUUUUAAAGAACAUAUGGAUGGGGGAAGACCGCCAUCACAGGGCAAGGACCUUAAAACAAAAUCCUGAAUCUGAAAUGCCAAAUGAAACUCUAUGUCAGGCUUAGCAGCUUUCAUUAGCUAAAACUUUCAUUUGUAUAUUACAUUUUUACUCUUUUUGGCACUUUUCCAA